AACGAACGCUGGCGGCAUGCCUAACACAUGCAAGUCGAACGAGACCUUCUGGUAUAUUGGCGCACGGGUGCGUAACGCGCGGGAACCUGCCCUUUAGUUCGGAAUCUCCUUUUGAAAGGGGUGCUACUACCGGAAACUUUCUUCGGACCCACGUUUUAUCUCCCGUGGAUGGGCCCGCGUCGUCUUAGCUAGUUGGUCGGGUAAAGGCCUACCAAGGUGACGUGCCUUAGCUGGUCUGAGAGCAUGAUCACCCACACUGGUACGGAGACACGGCCCAGACGCCUAGGGGAGGAAGCAGUGGGGAAUAUUAGGCAAGGGGCGAAAGGCGGAUACAGCAAAACCGGGUGGGUGAUGAAGGAGUUCGGACGGGAAAGCCCUGAUGGUGGGAAAGAAAAAAAGCAGGUUAAUACGCCGCGGUACUGACGGUACCGGAAGAAUAAGCACCGGCUAACUUCGUG
rnacentral:rRNA from 1 species